rnacentral:misc_RNA from 1 species
GAUGAAGAACGCAGCGAAAUGCGAUACUUGGUGUGAAUUGCAGAAUCCCGUGAACCAUCGAGUCUUUGAACGCAAGUUGCGCCCGAAGCCAUUAGGCCGAGGGCACGCCUGCCUGGGCGUCACACGUCGUUGCCCCCCCAUCUACUCCUUCGGGAUUGCGGGGGGCGGAUGAUGGCCUCCCGUGCGCCUCGUCGCGCGGUUGGCAUAAAUGCCAAGUCCUCGGCGACGCACGCCACGACAAUCGGUGGUUGCGAAACCUCGGUUGCCCGUCGUGUGCGGUCGUCGCGCAUCGAGGGCUCGAAAAAAUUGCCGGGCUCCGGCUCGGCUUUCAACGCGACCCCAGGUCAGGCGGGGUUACCCGCUGAAUUUAAGCAUAUCAAUAAGCGGAGA